rnacentral:tRNA from 1 species
AUGGGAGUCGGCAAGGAGGCUGAUGGGGAAGGAGCGGCUCGGCGGGGCUGGGGACGGGCCAGGAGAGCAGACCGGCCCCCGCCCCAGGCCGCUGAGGCUGCCCGGCUGCAACGUGGGCUCCGGGCCAGCAGGGGCCAGCUCCCCACUCCUCCCGGAACCCCAGUCGAUGCCAAGCCUUCAGAUGACCGGGAAGCCUGCAAUACCGCCUGCGCUCCUUUGGAGCCGGAGGGGGAAAGCUUAUCGCCAGGCCGGGCUGGGGGCCCUGGGGUCUCUAACCAAGAUCUUGGGAAGGGUCGAGACUCCUGGAGGAGCCGGUGCAGCACUGGAGGUCCACACACACCUGGCACUAGCGAGAGGAGAAGCAGAGACCGAGGUGUGCCCCCAAAUCCACACGUUGAAAACGAACCCCCGGGGUUAUGGUGGCAGGAGGCAGAGCCUCUGGGAGCUGAGCAGGCAGGAGGGUGGAGCCUCGGGACCGGCGCGUCCUCAGGAAAGGGGCCCAGAGGCUCCCUCGCCCCUGCUCCCUGCGAGGACACAGAGAAAACCAUGGCCACCGCUGAGCCAGGAAGAGGACCCCGCCUGACACCGUAUCUGGCGGCGAGUCAGACUCAGCCCCCAGGACAGUUGGGACUAAGUUUCUGUUGUUUAUAAGCCACCAGGCUGCGGUGUUUUGUUAUGCGGGCAAAUUAAGACGCCCCCUCACAGGAGUUCCCUGGUGGCCUAGUGGUUAGGAUUUGGCACUUUCACUGCUGUGGUCCCAGGUUCAAUCCCUGGUCUGGGAACUUGUGCAAGCCACAGGUGUGGCCAAAAAACCCAAAAAACAAAUAAACAAAAGAACACACACCCCACCACACACACGCUCAGCAUCAUGAUACGAGGGCCUGAGGCCUGGGGAAGACUUCGGAUGCCCUGAGGACAGCCCCUGGAGAGAGGAGGUGUGUCAAACCCCCUUUUCUGAGACAGUGGAGGCUCAGCAGCAGAGGCUCAGAGAGGUAAAGCCUUCUGCCUAAGGUCACACAGCUCAGAGAAAGGAAUAAAGCCAGGAGACGUGAUUCUAAUGCUGUAUUUACCAUCUUUUGCAUUAGAUCCACCUGGAACUCGGAGGUGGCCUUGCUUGCCUGGUUAGAGCUAUAGGGUGAGCAGCAGGCAUGACCCUGGGUGGGAACCACAGCGUGAAUCCAGGGCGAGCAGGGGCUCAGCUUUGGUUGAGUGCUUUCAAACAGGCACGGGAUUCCUCUGUGCCUCCUGGUGAAGUGCAUUUCAUGGCGAUGCCCUCUAAGAUGAAAGGGUGGGUGACACAGAGGGUGGCCAAAGGCCUCCCCUAAGGAUGGCCUCAUUGCAGGCUUGGGCAUGGCUCCAGCGGAACAGCAGGGAGAUGAGAAAGCCACCAGCCCGAGAGACGGUGAAGGUCAAAAGCAGCCCUGGUUACCAGCGCCACCCUCCUAAGCCUGCGUUGCCAAGGCAACGCUCCUCCGUGCUAUCCGUCCCCGCAUGGGGUCCGCUGUGACGAAGGCGAGAGCCUCCCUAGAAAGGGCUUGAAGCUGGUCUGAGGGAACUGGCUGCUCAGCCCGCCGCACCCGGUCGCAAGCAGUGGCCACAGGCACCGUCCUCUCCCAGCCUCCCUGGUCGUGGUCAAGGUUCUGGAGAAAGAGGCGGUGCCCCUCAUCUCCCACCUGUGACAGCCUCCCCGCUGCUGGGUGGAGCGGUCGUGGCCACACACUGGCCGGCCCCUCCCUCACCCCCAUUGCAGGCAAAAGGCGACGGAGCUUGAGGAGCCAGAAUAGAGCCCACCCACCCAGGACGGGGAAGGGGGCGGGACUAUUGCAAAAGAGCACAAACUCAGAGCUACAUUCUGGGUCUUUGUCCCCGGUUUCUGGCACAGGGGCUUCUAAAACCCUUGGAAUUUCCUGAGUGAUUGGGUUCGAGGAGCAUCUUUUCGCAUUUAUCUGAGACCCUUUAGAUCGUACCUGAGUUUACGCCAAUGUGGCGACUCUCGGUGGGCCGCUGGCAGCCUCAGGAUGGUGCUGGCAGCCGCAGGACCCAACCGCUUCCUUAAAGCUUGGAACUUUUAGCCCCACCCCCUGACCUCUGGGAAGGGGAGAGGGGCUGGAGGCUGAGAGAAUCCCCACCGGUAGGGAUGUAGCCAAUCACGAUCACGCCAUGAAGCCUCCGUCUAAACACCUACCCGAUGAGGCUCAGGUGCUGGGAGGGGCUGCCCCGGGCGCUCACCCACACCUGCGUAUCGCUUCAGUUGCCUGUUUCAGCAAUGCAUCCUUUAGAAUAAACUGGAAUUGCCAAGUACAGUGUUUCCCUGAGUUUGAAUCAUUCCAGCAAAUCCUACAAGCUGAGGAGGGGGGUCUCAGGAACCCCCCAGGGACUUGCGAUUGGCUUCUGAAGUGGGGGCGGGUAGGGGACUGAGCCCUUACACCGAGGCGUCUGCACUUGCUCUGGGUACCGUCAGAGAGUGCGAGGCGUGGUGUUGGAAACGACACUACCAAUUUGGUGUCAGGAGGGAAACCCUCUCAUCUGGAGUCAGAAGUGUUGUAACAGCAGCCCAAGCAGCAAAGGCAUCAGAGCUUUCAAAGCUCCUAGGUGGUUCCAGCACAAAGCCACGGUCACUGUCACUGGUCUAGACCUGGGGGCUUUGCACUUAAGGGCCCCAGAAUCCCUGGAGGACGUGGAAACACAGAUGGCAGCCCCCUCAGAUCUCUGACUCGGAGGGAGCGUGUGCACUGCUAACAAGUGUCCCUUCUACGCGGGGCGACUGCUCACGGACCCCACUUGGAGAACCGCUGGUGCAGUUCAGAUGCUCUGCUCUGAAGCUGACCCAAGCUGGCCCAGCGUCUCACCGCUUGUUCACAUCACCUUCUUAGGACUCCAAACAAGGCUCUUGUUCGAAGUGUUUGGGUUCCCCCAGGGUGUAGACAUGGGCGUGGCAAAGGCUGGCGUAGCUCUGCAUUCACUUUUGUUUGUUGAAUGCAUGAACUGAUUCGUUCAUUCAACCAAGAUGCGAGGGUUACCACGCUCCUGCUCUGAGCUGGGCGUGCCUGGGAUCGAUGGUGGAAGAGAUGAAAUCAGUCGGAGACACACGUGGCGUGGGCUGGGCGGGAGGGUGCGUUGUGGACACAGGGCGGGCAGCUGCCUCCAGGCUGAAGACAGAGAGGUGCUCCCAGAGGCCAGGUGUCUGAGCCACUGGUCCCCAGCGUGUGGGCUGAGGACCAGCAGGACUAGCCUUACUGGGGGCUGGUUAGAAAUGCAGAGGCUCAGGCCCCUUUGAGCAAGCGCGUGAGCUCGGAGUCUCCUCCGAGUGUGAGAGGCCCCCGGAUCCGAACGACGCCCGGAAUUAACCUGGUGAAGAGGAGCAAAAAGAGCAUUCCAGAAGAAGCAGCCAUCCGUGAAACCAUCUGUGUGUGUUCUAAGGAGGAAAAGAAGUUCCAGUGACCAGAGCUAGAAUUUGGGGGUGUGCAGACGAGAAGCUUCUUUCCGUGUGAAGGGCCCACCACCCCUGGCCGCUCUCAGCUGCUUAACUGGGCAACCGACCCUCUGGUUUGCCAGGUAGGGGGCUUCCAGUGGGUCACCAGCCUUUAACUGCCCCAGGAGGUGGGGGCUCCUCACUGGUAAACCUGGGCUGCUGUUUUGGUGACGUCCCAGGAGCAGAUUUGCUCUGUGGAGAGUCAGCUCCGCCUCCCUGUGGCACCUGGACUGCAGGCCAUGCCCAGGUGGGGGCUGAGCAGGGAGUGUCACCAGGAAGCUCCAGAAAAGAGAGGCAGGAAAAGGACCAUUUGUCUCAGUCUCUUUGGGAGAAGCUGGUCCCUCUGGGUCCAGGGCAGGGACUUGAGAGAUGAAAGUGGGGGAGGGGGGGUCCCACUUUCCAGAAGAGGAGCCUGGGGCCGGGGUGCAUAGGGGAGCAGGGAGGGCCCCGGUCUGCUCCACUCCACAGCCAAGGACUGGAACUCAGGUCACCGGGCCCGGGCCCGGGCCCGGUCUCAGCCAGCUGCCUCUGUGACCAUGCCUGGCAAACACCAGCCAUCCCAUCCCGACACCCUCUGACCGUUAGAACGAGCCUCCUCAAGUUAAGCCCAAACCUGUCUCUCGGCCUCCCGGGUCCUGGGGAGAUGUGCUCCACAAUCCACUCAAACAGCCCUUGCCGAUCCCUCUUGGAGCACUUUGGCGGGAUCAGAUUCUCUUUCGGUGCCUGGGUAGCACCCAAGGCGUCCCAGGUGGGAAUACGGGGGCGGGGGCCCCCGGGACGGGGCCGCACUCAGCCCUGCAGGAUUCUGCCUGGAGAACGCACGUGGCCACUGGGCAACUCCUGCGCCCAGAGCUCUGAGCAGCCCCGUAGCGGAGGGAUGGAAUCCUCAGCGGGCCACGUCCUGAUCCCCAGAACUUGUCAGUUUGACCUUGGAAAGAGUUCUUGGCAGAUGUGAUUAAGAUAAUGGCCUUGAGAGGAGACCGCUGUGGAUUUGGGGUGACCCUCCAUCCAAAGGGAGAAGAAGAGGGGGUUCGAAGCCCAGAGAGACACAGGGAGAAGGCCCGAGCUGAGAGGCAGAGACCGGGGUGAUGCAGCCGCAAGCCAAGGAGGCCAAGGAAAGCCUGGAGCUGCCAGAAGCUGGGCCAGAGGCACCCAGAAUUGUCCCCCAGGGCUUCCAGGAGGGAGCAACCCUGCCCACACCCUGAUUUCAGACUUCCGGUCACUAGAACUGUGGGAGAACAAAGCUGUGUUUUUUCGGCUCCCGCCCCCUACAGUUUGUGCUAAUCUGGACUGGCAGCCCCAGGAAAUGAACACAAGUCCCCACUGCAGUCCCCUCCCUGGAGGCAGGCCCGGGCAUCCAUGCAGCCCCCAGAUCUGCAGUGGGCAGGACCUGAUUGAGGCCACCUCCGGCACGAGGAUUUGGAGGAUCCGAGGUGCCAGCGAGGCUGAGUCUCCAGGCCUGCUCCCGGCUGGCCCUGCUCAAGCGAGUUCUGGUAAGGAGCCAGGCCCCGCACCCUCCCUGCCUUACCUGGGCAGUGAGGUGGUGCCGCCGUCCCCCACCGCCCCACCUCUCCCGUGUGGAC